rnacentral:rRNA from 1 species
UAGGAAUAUACCUUAAAGAGGGGGAUAACUUGGGGAAACGCAAGCUAAUACCGCAUACACUCUGAGGAGAGAAGCUGGGGACCUUCGGGCCUGGCGCUUUAAGAAUAGCCUGCGUCUGAUUAGCUAGUUGGUGGGGUAAAGCCUACCAAGGCGACGAUCAGUAGCUGGUCUGAGAGGAUGAUCAGCCACACGUGGGACUGAGACACGGCCCAGACUCCUACGGGAGCAG